ensembl:lncRNA
UGGGAUUACAGGUGUGAGUCACCGUGCCUGGCCAGAACCCAGUUUAAAUUCCAUCCUCUCUGCAAAGUCUUCCUUAACCACCCCUGUUGAAAGUUACGCCUGCUUGCCACAGCAAGUGGUACUUGGAUGUUCAUGAGAUACAUGCACAAGGCUCCUUUGGGGGUCCUGGGAAGACAGUGACAUGGACACUCACGAAAGAAACCUUGGAAUAGUGAGUGUGUGUGCUACAAAAUGUGCUUUAGAUUUGAUUACCACCACUUAGGUUAUGACCUCUGAUACGAUUUGGGUGGGGACACAGCCAAACUGUCACCAGCCAGGUGGAACUGUGAGUCAAUUAAACCUCUUUCCUUUAUAAAUUACCCAGUCUCAGGUAUAUCUUUAUAGCAGUGUGAGAACGGACUAAUACAAGCCCCUUGAGAUCAGAGGCUAAAAUCACUUUUCCCCAAACAUUUGCUUUUUAUAUAUGCUACGUCUCUGUGUCUGCUUCAACGUUUCCAGCAGUGCUUUAUAUAUGGUAGGCAUGCAAUAAAUGCUUCUUGAUCGACUGACAGGUGCUCAGAAGAUCUAGGUUGAUUGAUUUUCUUGUGAUGCCGUCUUUUCCUGAGAGCUCAUUAAUUUUUAAGUUGUUUUCCUUGAAAUGCAUGGUAUGUUUCCUCCACCCUGCUCUUUUUGCCUUUCAUAGGGUUCCAUCUUGAUCAGCUGCUAUCAUGGUCUGUUUUGUGAUCAAAGGUUCUGAUGAGCUUUGGAAUAUGUAUAUGUUUGGAGUGAGGAUGGGGCCUGGAGGAGAUGCAGGUUGAGGACCAAUUCACCCAACCCAGCUUACAAAAGUAAAGUGGCCCCUUAGGAGCACUGAAGCAUUGCUGUGGAUUUUAGAGAUCGCUUCUUUCAAAUCAGCAUAGGCCUUCCAGUGUGGCAGGCCAUAAGAUCUGAGGUUUCCACGCUGUUCCUGGAAGCCAAGUGGACAGCUUAUUUUUUACCUUCUUUAUUGCACAUUUGGGGCUUGGGGGAUAGAGUCAUAUGUGUGUCAGUUGAAACUGUAGCUACUGCAUUCCACUCCUUCGGGGAUCGUAGUACUCAUGCCAACAGAAAACUUCAAGGCCAGUAAUUACUGUCUUCAGAGUACAAGACAGGCACAGGAGUUGUUUUGGCAUAAGAAUACCAUGAUUUGCAUCCCACAGUGUAAGAAAGACAAUGCUGAAUUCAGAAGAUGGUGCAAAAAGUGUGACAGUUCAGUUGUGGUGACUGUUGCUGAUGCAUGGGGCUAUUUUAUUUACAUUUCCUUUUUUCUUUUUUAACAGAGACAGGAUCUUGCUGUGUUGCCCAGCCUAAUCUCAAACUCCUGGGCUCAAGUGAUCCUCCUGCCUCGGCCUCCCAAAAUGUUGGGAUUACAGGCAUGAGCCACCAUGCCUGGGCUUUAUUUAUAUGUCCAAGUCAAAUGUUAGUUGGUCAAUCAGUCUUUUUAAGCACCAAUGUUGUGCCUAACCUUGUGGGAACUGUAGGAAAAAAAUACUCUGUAUUGGGAAGACCUUGAUUUGCUGUCACAGGUGCCACUAAUGCCAAUUAUAAGGCUGUGUGGAAUCAGGUGAUUGAAAGCCCAGUCUGUAACAUAAACUGCUGCAGGGUUCCAGUGGGGGCAAGUAAGGUGGGCAGAGAGGGUGGGUAGCAUUUGACUUUGACAGCAUAGCCUGAGCAGAGGCACAGUGGGGAUAGUGAGUGUGCAGUGCGAGGAGGGAGAGAGGUAAGUGGUAGGGAAGAGGUGGGAGGGGGGCAAGGAGAAGGCUCAGGAGGUUUUGGGACAGGGAAAUGACUUGGUUAGUCACCACUUAGUUUCUUCUCACAUGUGUACAAUUUGGAAUUCACUUGGUUCUUAGUAUUCCUGGGUCAGAUGACUUCUUUCCAGUCUGAGAAACCAUUUCCCAGGCCGGCUACUUGGGCUAUGGUAUCUUCCAGUGCUCCUCUGUGAUUGUACUCAGAUCAGCUCAUCUAGGCAGGCAGGAUGGCAGAAGCCCUCUGACUUCAUGUCUGAAAGAAUACGUGUUUCAACUCUAUAAUUACAGCAUUUAACAGACCAUAUCAGCCCUCUUUGGGAUGGCUUUUGGCAAAUGGGCUAGAAGUCUAUUCUGCAUUUAAAUGAUACUGCAUCUUCUCUUUAAAAGGUUCCUCAGUUAGUCCACCCCACUCUGUAUCCAAAGUGUGUCCCAGGCCAUGAGUCAAAAGGAAAUGAGUAGUUCUUUCUGGUUGGAGAAUUAAAAAGAAAUCUCCACCCAAGUAACAGGUACAUAGUGGGAAAAAAAUAACAUCUCCCUGAAAGCUUAAUCUUCAGGCAAAGAGAGGGUCGGGGGCGGGGGCUUAGUAAUGGGGAAACCUCAGAAGAUUUAAAAGAGAAUUACAGACAGACAAGGCUCAACAUUGGCUGUCAUCCAACAAAGCUCUUAUAAGAUUGGAAUCACUGCCCGGUUCUUGAGCUCUGACCUGGAGGGAAGAGGAGUCUGGAAGACCUGGCACAGACCUGAGUGCUUCAUUGUCUUUCUGGUUCCAAGUCCUCCUUAGCUCACUAGGAAGGAGGUGGGGUGGGGGAGGUAAGCCACUCUGCGUGAGUGCACUCAUCUACACUGGCUAGUCUACUUCGCAGUCCCCCUGCAGAUUAUCCCCACCUCUACCUGGUUCCAGUUCCAGAUUGGGGGGAUAUAGAAUGCCAUCCCCACCCCUCACCCUGCUUGCUGUGGCCUGGAAAACUGUCUUUCCUUUACCACCAGCUGGCAUCUGCCAUAUGCCUCAAGGAACUGAAUAAAGGAAGGGGGGGGAAGAAGAAACUAGAGAAACUGGAGUGUUUACUGUCUGAGCCCCAAGUACAGGCACUGCCUCUUUCCGUAGCAACACAGAAUGUCUCCUUCCCUUUAACCUCCAUCUCCCUAGAUAUGCCCGAGGAGGACAGCCUUGUUUCUGAGAUCUGCUGUUGAGAACUGCUGCUGAGAAUUCUUCCUUCAGCUCCGCCUUAACGCACCAUUGGUUUUUCACUAGGUCUGCUGCAGGAAACAGGAAUUACUUAGUUGACUACCAUCUGAGGUGCUGUUUAGUGUUGGUAAUAAAGAAUAAAGGUGGAAAUGAAGCAAU